rfam:Neotoma lepida isolate 417 scaffold_3528, whole genome shotgun sequence.
GNAUGGUCUCGGUGGGAGGCAGAUUGUGCACAUAGAAUCAUCUCGCUCUUCUAUAGGAGAUGCUCAGCUUUUUUGGCUNUGAUUAUUACAAACAUCUUGCUUUUUUGGCCUUUUAUCUGUUAGCAUGGCUACUUGUCNAAUUUUGCUUUCCUUGCUUUAGGGCAG